CCACGCUGCUGCUGCUGCCCACAGGCUCAGGUAAAUCCCUCUGUUACCAACUCCCUGCCUUCCUCUACCACCGCCGCUCGCGCUGCAUCUCCAUCGUCGUCUCCCCCCUCAUCUCCCUCAUGGACGACCAGGUUUGCAGCCUUCCCUCAGCGCUCACAGGCGUCUGCAUCCACUCCAACCUCACCCCAGCGCAGCGCGAGGCCGCCAUCCAAAAAGUGAGGAGCGGCCAGGCCCAGCUCCUGCUGCUUUCCCCAG